GGAGGGUGCAAGCGUUAAUCGGAAUUACUGGGCGUAAAGCGCGCGCAGGCGGCUGGGUCAGUCGGAUGUGAAAGCCCCGGGCUUAACCUGGGAAUUGCAUUCGAUACUGCCCGGCUAGAGUAUGGGAGAGGGAAGUGGAAUUUCCGGUGUAGCGGUGAAAUGCGUAGAUAUCGGAAGGAACACCAGUGGCGAAGGCGGCUUCCUGGCCCAAUACUGACGCUCAGGUGCGAAAGCGUGGGGAGCGAACAGGGAUUAGAUACCCUGGUAGUCCACGCUGUAAACGAUGAGAACUAGAUGUUGGGAGGGUUAGCCUCUCAGUGUCGCAGCUAACGCGUUAAGUUCUCCGCCUGGGGAGUACGACCGCAAGGUUG
rnacentral:rRNA from 1 species